CAGAGGGCGCCGAACCUGGUUUGGGUUUUGCUAAUUAGCUCACCUGUCGCAGCUCGCGCGCUAUGGGCACGCUAAUUAGUUAAUUUGUUGCGUCUGGUUGGGUUCUGCUCACAUGGAACCGGACAGCACGUUGUUGUCCACCACUGUUUGGCAGCGUUAUGUCUCCCAGACAAGGUUACAAAGACUUUUUGAAGUAAAACGGAGCAUUUCAUAUGGAGCUGAUUUCUAUCCUGGAGAUGAAACUCCAGUUCUGUGAGUAUCCCAAUUGAAUCAUGAAGAAGAAACUGCGAACUGUAAGUCAUUGGUUUCCUUAUUAUUAUUGGGCACUGCAAUGUAUUUUGGGUUAACCUGUUUAGUGAACAUUGCUUUGAGUAGUGUGGAUGUUUUAUUGGUGCAUGAGCUACUUAAGCAUUUGAGUUGGUACUAAUGGUUUCAAGUACAGGUUAGAAGUGUUGUAAAGCGUAAUAGAGAAUUCUGUGGGUACAACCAAAACAUACUUCAGGGUUGGUUGCUGAUUUCUUUAGUCUUCUUUCCUGCUACUCUCCUGAGCUCUUCAUCUUCAUCACAUGAGUGUCGCUUUACCGAUAAGGGCGUAUCUGAGUGAGCAGAGGUGCAUGAUGGGAUACAGGUCUGUCUGAAGUCUACUGGUCUGUAGACACGACCACUCAGGAGAAACCAAGGGUUUGAGAAUCCGUUUUGAUGUGCGUUUCAUGGACUAGAAUAUCCUUUAAGAUGGGGACAGGGAUUCCCAAAGGAGAAACACUUUGGGGAGAUGUGAGUGCUCCUCAUCUCAACGACUGGAACACUACUUCGUUCUUGCACCAGAGAACCAUAGAGCUCAUUUCAACAUUCUCCUCCAUGUAUUGUGAAGCCUCAGCGACUCUUUCUCUACCUCCACAGCUGUCAGAGCACAACUCCAGUUCAGAAAUGGUCACAGUUGGGGGCCAUUCCAAGAUGGUUUCUCAUUUCACCAGAGCCAUCUUCCAGGUCCAGCUGGCCUUCCAUCUUGAGGGUUGGAGUGUACAAAACACUGUACACAGAAAGCUUCUAUUUGGUCCAGUCCAGUCAGCCUACUGAGGAUGGAGAUAUUCUACAAGAGUGUUUGACAUUGUAUUGCUCUGUGGCAUCCGGGUUUGACAUGAGAUGGAAAUGGUUCAUUUGUCAGCAUGACAAGGGUUCGCUCUGGUAUUGGAGUUCUGCAUAAGUGUGUGACCUGGGUUCUACAUGUGUCCUGGGUUCGCUCUGGUGUUGGCGUUCUCCUGGGUUUGCUCUGGUAUUGGAGUUCUACGUUUGUCCUUGAUUCGAUCUGGUAUUGGAGUUCUACGUUUGUCCUUGAUUCGAUCUGGUAUUGGAGUUCAACGUUUGUGUCCUUGGUUCGAUCUGGUAUUGGAGUUCAACGUGCGUGUCCUUGGUUCGAUCUGGUAUUGGAGUUCAACGUGCGUGUCCUUGGUUCGAUCUGGUAUUGGAGUUCAACGUGCGUGUCCUUGGUUCGAUCUGGUAUUGGAGUUCUACGUGCGUGUCCUUGGUUCGAUCUGGUAUUGGAGUUCUACAUGCGUGUCCUUGGUUCGAUCUGGUAUUGGAGUUCAACGUGCGUGUCCUUGGUUCGAUCUGGUAUUGGAGUUCAACGUGCGUGUCCGUGGUUCGAUCUGGUAUUGGAGUUCAACGUGCGUGUCCUUGGUUCGAUCUGGUAUUGGAGUUCAACGUGCGUGUCCUUGGUUCGAUCUGGUAUUGGAGUUCAACGCGUGUGUCCAGGGUACGACCUGGCAUGGGAUUCUACAUGUGUCCUGGGUUCAACCUGGUGUCCGUCCAUCUGAGUGACAUGGGGUAUUGGAACCGUCAACCUAAUCGAAAUGGAUGGAUGAGCACCUGGUUUGCUUAAGGACUUGGCCGACGUGAAGAGCCUGGAACGAUGCUCCGCAAUGAUAUCCCAACACACUGGACAGGAAGACGGGAGUUGGAUUGGAAUCAAGUGUAAAGAAAGGAUGCGAAAGGCUGGUUUGGAUCACUGACUACAAAUUAGAACUACACCAAUAAGGAACAAUGGAGGAAAUAUACCAAAUGGAUUCCACAAGAAGAGUCUGAAGUUGGAAAUCGACCUAAAUGGAUAUUCCAGAUGACCUUCAGAGCUGUAGUGAGGUGCCUCUUCCUACCUGCUGGAUGGCCGGCAAGCCCUGUGGACCGUGUCUUGUGUCGUAUUGCUUUCAGAUGCACAUCUUCUCUGACUGAAAUAUAUUUUGUUUCCUGGCUAGGUGAACCUGGGAGAUGGGUUGUGUGAAUCUGAAACGAUCUUUGAACUAUCCUAACUCGGGUCUGCCUCAAGCUGUAGUUGUGCUCUUCAGCUGAGGAUGUUUGGAAACCUUCAGUGGGGCUUCAAGAUGUAUAGAGGGGAACGUUGCAGUGGGUUCCAUGGUUCUCUGAUGGAGAACCUUAGUUGUAUUCUACUGGCUGAGAGGAAAAACACACGCAUCUUUCUCUUGGCGUUUCUUCCUUUUAGAAUCCCUGUCGCCAUCUUGAAGGAUAUUCCACUUUAUGUAACUGAUGUCCUUGCGGCUUCGCAAACUUUGGUUUCUCCAGUGGGGCGUGUCUACAGAAUUGUAUACUUCAGACGGCAUUGUAUCCUAGAAUGAAUCUCUGCUUACUCAAACCACACCUCCAUUAGUAGGGCAACACUAUAGCGAUGGAGGUGCAUAGUCUUUGAGUAACUGGGGAGCAGAUAACGGGGAUUAGAAAACAAUGUCAUGUUAAGUCUGUAGAUCUUAAAAUCAUGAUUGUUAAAUGGGAGUUCAGGAGUUGAUUUAAUUAUGUGCAGUCCCUUAUCUCAAAUGCACACGUCUCACUUAACCUCAGAUUUCUUCGAAAUGAUUCGCAAUUGUUGAUGCGGUUAGUUCAGGGUAUCGUUUGCAGGGUUGUGGAUGGCUCUCUGAGCUAGACAUUUUGGUUGUAUCUGUAGGGUUUGUACCCAGAAUUAUCAAGAUAAGAUAAGAUGUUGUAUGGUCAAAUGUAGUCAGUUUUGCAUUAACGGAUUUCCUCGUUUUUAAGCAAGCCUUUGAGGGUUAAAUGUGUUGUGGGACAUACAAGGUAGUUCUGUGUGCUUCGUAUUGUUUUUAGUGUUAUAACUUGUACACACUGGGUGCUUAGCAAUUUAGAGGUAACACUGAAUAGUAGUUAUAACCAACAGCAACAAACAGAUCGCCUUAAGGUAAGUCUGUUGGCUGCAUUUAUGUGAGAAGAUCAUCGCUGGACUUCAGGAUCGUCCUCCGCUCAGCUCAAGGUGAGGCGCUGGUUACGUUCCUUACUGCUGGGUUGGUUCCGGCUGGAAUGUUCGGAUUCCAGUCGGACGGGUUUCCUUCCCGCCGGGAAGGUUCUGAGUGUAGUCCGUUAAUUUAGUUUCAAAAUGGUUGGCAUUGAACAUUGUAGUAUUGAAAACCUUAAGAACACACUUGGCGGUUAGUUGGAUUGAUUUAAGUCACCUGAAAGGGCAUCUGGCAGUAUGUUAAGGAUUGACGUUUGCAUUACCUCGUCACCAUUGGAAAAAAACAAUUCAAUUUCUGACCAAUCUUAAGAGACUUUAGAUUUCCCGUUCAAAAUACAUACUGGCGUCUAUGUUUUUCAUUUCUCAAAUUCUACCAAUUUUUUUCAAUAAUUGCGCUCCACGUUGACGGACUCUCGCUGCGUACAAAUCUGCGUCGUACUUGCGGGCGCAUUUCUAACCGUCAAUGAAGAUUUCAUCACUUUUAGGCACUUUAUGGCAUGGCUUCCAUAUAACCCAGCACCUUAAUAUGGUUAAGUAUAAUUUUACUAUUGAAUUUUUAAUAUUGAUACUGCUUAGUGUUCUUUGAUACUUUAACAGCUUUGGUACAUUCUAAAUAUCUGGUCCAUUAAUUGUCACAGAAGUUAAACCCUACCAAAUCGCAUGACGUUAGAUUAUUACCCUUUUGUGAUGGGUUAUGAACUGGAUAGUAUCCAACCGCUAAAAUAAUGGCUGUGUCCCACAUGUUGCAGUAGGAGAACUUUAUAACCGUACACGGUAAAUGGUAACGUGUAGUUUGUCUCACGGUGUCUGCCUCCUCCCCAGAGCCGUACCUUCACCCUGUCGGAGUCCUCCACAGAAGGUCAGAGCUCCGCUGCAGGAGGGUCAUGUAUGUUCAGAGGCUGUCUGAUUAGUUCAGGGGCCUCUGGAUGCGGCAACGGGGUAGACGGUGGCGGACUGGACCCCCCGGAGGCCGACCGGACCCCGGAGGCCGACCGGACCCCCGGAGGCCGACCGGACCCCCCGACUGGAGGCCGACCGGACCCCGCCGACUGGAGGCCGACCGGACCCGCCGACUGGAGACCGGACCCCCCACGGAGGCCGACUGGAGCCCCCGGACUGGACCCCCGGAGGCCGACUGGACCCUCGGAGGCCGACUGGACCCCCGGAGGCGUGGACCAGAGGCUGAGGCUGGAAGGACCAGGAUGGACCAGGAACCAAAGCUGGAGACCAGAGAAAUGCCACACGGGAUCGGACCAGAGGGAACCUCAGAUGCAGAAGGUGUGGAGUGUGGCAGCUACACCUGGGAUUCCUGGCUGACGGAGGAGUCGUGCUGGAGGAGGUCCUGCCUGGUGGAGGCGGUCCAUCGUGGGGCAGAUGGAGCCUGACUCUAACGCCAGGACUCUGUGGUGUGGAGGAGCUGGGACUCCUGAGGACAGCCAGAACUCCACCAACAAGGAUUCCUCGACAUGAGCUGGACCAGAGGACAGCUGGUGGGGAGCCGUAGAUCUGGAGGAAGACCAUGACUCUACCAGCAAGUAUUCCAUACCAGGACUCCGUGGCUGAGGAGCUGUGUGUGGUCCGACCGGACCCCCCGGAGGCGGACUGGAGCCCCCCCCGGAGGCGGACUGGAGCCCCCCCCGGAGGCCGACUGGAGCCCCCCCCGGAGGCCGACUGGAGCCCCGGAGGCCGACUGGACCCCCGGAGGCGUGGACCAGAGGCUGAGGCUGGAAGGAUCAGGUUGGACCAGGAACCGAAGCUGGAGACCAGAGAAAUGCCACACGGGAUCGGACCAGAGGGAACCUCAGAUGCAGAAGGUGUGGAGUGUGGCAGCUACACCUGGGAUUCCUGGCUGACGGAGUCGUCGUGCUGGAGGAGGUCCUGCCUGGUGGAGGCGGUCCAUCGUGGGGCAGAUGGAGCCUGACUCUAGCGCCAGUACUCUGUGGCGUGGAGGAGCUGGGACUCCUGAGGACAGCCAGAACUCCACCAACAAGGAUUCCUCGACAUGAGCUGGACCAGAGGACAGCUGGUGGGGAGCCGUAGAUCUGGAGGAAGACCAUGACUCUACCAGCAAGUAUUCCAUACCAGGACUCCGUGGCUGAGGAGCUUUAUGUGGUCCGACCGGACCCCCCUCGGAGGCGGACUGGACCCCCCGAGGCGGACUGGACCCCCGGAGGCGGACUGGACCCCCGGAGGCGUGGACCAGAGGCUGAGGCUGGAAGGACCAGGUUGGACCAGGAACCGAAGCUGGAGACCAGAGAAAAAUGCCACGGGAUCGGACCAGAGGGAACCUCAGAUGCAGAAGGUGUGGAGUGUGGCAGCUACACCUGGGAUUCCUGGCUGACGGAGGAGUUGUGCUGGAGGAGGUCCUGCCUGGUGGAGGCGGUCCAUCGUGGGGCAGAUGGAGCCUGACUCUAACGCCAGGACUCUGUGGCGUGGAGGAGCUGGGACUCCUGAGGACAGCCAGGACUCCACCAACAAGGACUCCACCAACAAGGAUUCCUCGACAUGAGCUGGACCAGAGGACAGCUGGUGGGGAGCCGUAGAUCUGGAGGAAGACCAUGACUCUACCAGCAAGUAUUCCAUACCAGGACUCCGUGGCUGAGGAGCUGUGAGUCUGGAGGAAGACCAGGACUGUCUACAGGUAGUCCUAGUCAGUUUGCAUAAAGUCAAUGUAGAACUUGUACAGGACAAACGCUUCAUUGCAAGUUAAGAAAUGCUAAUGUGAUUGGUUACUAGACAAACUAAAGCUGCUACUUUGUUUCAUGCCAUUAGAGCCAAAACUGUUUGUUACCAGGCCAGUCAAACUAUCACUGUUACUUUGUACAAGACUUUAGAGCCAAACUACUACUGUGUUUGGUUAACUUACAUUAGUGCCCAACUAGGUCUGUAACCAGACCGGGAAUCUGGACAACUGAUGGAGAAGCCAUACCUCUGACCAGGACUCCGUGGCAGAAGAGAGCUGAUGGAGGAGCUCUGACUCCGGAGAUCGACCAUGACUCUACUAGCAAGUAGUCCUUGACGCUGGUGAAAUCCGGUUUGGUCCAGGACCCACACCUGAUCUGAACCCAACCUGAUCCUGUUUGUUCCUCUCCCCUCAUCCUCAAGAAGAACUUCUGAGCUUCAGCAGUCUGAGGCUGAUGGAUCAAUUAACUCCAGUCUGAAUAACCUUGACCCCACAUGUACCCGUGUACUUCCACACUCCUUUCCCUCAUGUCUGUCACUAACUAACCUCACUACUUCACUGUCCUCUCUACUCCCUUCCGUUCCUCUUGCUUCUCCAUGGUUCGAACCAGCACUCUGAAGGAGUGUCUUCUUGCCCUCAGAGGGUUCAGUGUUAGGGUUGAGAGUCAGGGUUUAGAGUCAGGGACAGAGCUGGUUAGGGAGGAAGGGUUUUUGCACAUGCCUCUUCACUUGCUUGCUGAAUUGUUUUGACAUUUUGAAAUGAUUCAUUGGGAAAAUAUUUUACUGUGCUAUUACUGACAAAUAAAUAUUGUUGUACCAAAUGUCUUUUAUAAAUGUAAAUCCUACAUUGUGACUUAAGAUAUUUGAUUCUGUAAUUUGCCUUGGCUAUUGUCAAGCUAAACAUUUUAAUACAUUGCAUAUAUUUCAUGCAUAUUAUUCACAUAAUAGUUAAUAUAUGAUACAACUUCCAUAUAAACUACACAAUUCCAGUAUUCAUUUAGGUACCGACCGACCCACACAGGCCAUUAAUCUACCACCGUAACCAUUCCAGUAUCAAACCAAUACAGGAUAACUAGGACAUUGGAGAACGAGGUUUCACAAGAACAGCACCAAUAAUGUGUCAUGGCGACCUCAUUUUGGGCAAAAUCAUUUCUACAGGCCUGCGUCCACGUUACCUGACAGAAGGUUCUGUCUGAAGGGUUAAAAAGAUGGCUGACAUUCUAAGUUGAAAAUCC
ensembl:lncRNA